AUGUCAAUUAAUCCUACAAAAGAUAUGUAUCUUAUGAAAAAUAAUAAUAAUAAUAAUAUCGGUAGAAUUAAGAAAAAACCAUUUCCAAUCAAUACAUUUGUUUGUACUGAUAACGAAAAUACUGACAAUGCCACUACAACUCUUGCCACUACAUCUCUUGUCACUACUUCUCUUCCUACCACUUCUCUAGCUACUACUACCACUACCAAUACUGCUACAACUACUACUACCACUACUAUUACCAACGAUAAUGCAAUUUACUCAAAUGAUAGAAAUAAUAUGAACAGUAAUAUGAACAGUAAUAUGAACAGUAAUAUGAACAGUAAUAUGAACAGUAAUAUGAACAGUAAUAUGAACAGUAAUAUGAACAGUAAUAUGAAUGGCAAUAUGAACGGCAAUAUGAAUAAUAAUAUUAAUAACAUAUUAAUGAAUGAACAAAAUGAAUUAAAAAGACAUACAUAUAAUUCAGUUUUAUCAAAUAAUAUAAAUAAUAGUUUAGAUUAUUUGAAUAAAAAUGUUUUUACAUAUAAUAAUAAUAAUAAUAAUAAUAAUAAUAAUAAUAAUAAUAGUAGUAGUAGUAAUAGUAAAAAUGGUAAUAUAAGUAGUAAUGGCAAUAUAAGUAGUAAUGGCAAUAUAAGUGGUAAUGGAAAUAUAAGUGGUACUGAUGAAGAAAUUUUGAAUAAUAUAAAAAAAAAUUAUAUUAAACAUAAUUAUAAUGAAAAUAAUAGUAAUAAUAAUUUUAAUACUUUUAUAAAUAUGAAUUAUAAUGGUAAUAACACUGGUAAUAAAUAUAGCAAUUCUAAUUAUUGUAGUAGUAAUUAUAGUAGUAAUAAUUAUAGUAGUAAUAAUUAUAGUAGUAAUAAUUAUAGUAGUAAUAAUUAUAGUAGUAAUAAUUAUAGUAAUAGUCACAAUAUUAAUUGUAACACCAACAGUUGCACUGAUAUUAAUUGUAGUGAUUAUGAUUUAUCUAUAUAUACUAAUGGAAAUAUCAGUAAUAACGAUAAUAAAAAUGAAAAUUAUAAAAAAAAUAGUAACGAUACUAUAAAUAACUGUACAACUAAACGCUUGGAAGUUAUAAAAGAUAAUAGCAACUUAUUUACACAUAACAUUAACAACAACCACAAUAACAACAACUACAACAUCAACAACCACAACAACAACCACAACAACAACCAUAACAACAACCAUAACAACAACCAUAACAACAACCAUAACAACAACCANNNNNNNNNNAACCAUAACAACAACCAUAACAACAACCACAACCGCAACCACAAAAAUAACUACGAUUAUUUAUAUGAUGAUAAAUACAUAAAUCAUGAAGAAUUAACAAAUUUUAUUAACAUUGAUUUUAUUAAUGACAUAGAUAAAGAAUAUGAUGAAAAAAAUAUUAAACUUGAUCAUACACUUGAUCAUACACUUGAUCAUACACUUGAUCAUACGAACGAACAUAAUGGACAAACACCUAUUCAUAUAAAUAAUUUAAUUAAAACACAAAAUAAUUUAGACAUAUUAACACCUUAUAAUAAAUACAUAAAUGAAAGUUUAUUAAUUAAUAAUACAAGUUACUUAGAAAAUCACAGCAUCAAUAAUAACAAUAUUGGUAAUAGUAUUAGCAACAGUAUUAGUAACAAUAUUGGUAAUAGUAUUAGUAACAGUAUUAGUAACAAUAUUGGUAAUAGUAUUAGUAACAGUAUUAAUAACAGUAUUAAUAACAGUAUUAAUAACAGUAUUANNNNNNNNNNUAACAGUAUUAAUAACAGUAUUAAUAACAGUAUUAAUAACAGUAUUAGUAACAGUAUUAAUAACAGUAUUAGUAACAGUAUUGGUAAUAAUAUCAGUAGUAACAUUACCAAUAACAUUACUAGUAACAUGAACAGUAACAACCAAGGCAAAUUAAACAAUAUGUUUGAAGGAUUUGAAGAAUAUAACAAUAUUAAUUUUAAUAGAAUACUUGAUAAUUUUGAAAAUAAAACAAGUUACAUGUUAAACGACACCAAGGAUAACGAAACAAAUGUUAAAGUAAAUUUUAGUGAAAAUGAUUAUAACACAUAUGUUAAUGUACAUAAAAACAAAGGAAGUACUUGCGAUGUUAGAGAGAUGGGUAUAGUAGGAGUUGCAGAGUUAGUUGAAUAA
ensembl:lncRNA